GAUGAACGCUAGCGGCAGGCUUAACACAUGCAAGUCGAGGGGUAACAGAGGUAGCUUGCUACUUGCUGACGACCGGCGCACGGGUGCGUAACGCGUAUAGAAUCUGCCUCAUACUGAGGGAUAGCCUUUGGAAACGAUGAUUAAUACCGGAUAGUCUCUUUGGAGUAAAAAUUUAUUGCUUGGGGAGGAGCCUGCGUUCUAUCAGCUAGUUGGUGAGGUAAAAGCUCACCAAGGCAAUGACGGAUACCUGGUCUGAGAGGAUGAUCAGGCGCAAUGGAACUGAGACACGGUCCAU
rnacentral:rRNA from 1 species